rnacentral:rRNA from 1 species
AUUGAACGCUGGCGGCAUGCCUUACACAUGCAAGUCGAACGGUAACAGGUCUUCGGAUGCUGACGAGUGGCGAACGGGUGAGUAAUACAUCGGAACGUGCCUAGUAGUGGGGGAUAACUACUCGAAAGAGUGGCUAAUACCGCAUGAGAUCUACGGAUGAAAGCAGGGGAUCGCAAGACCUUGUGCUACUAGAGCGGCCGAUGGCAGAUUAGGUAGUUGGUGGGAUAAAAGCUUACCAAGCCGACGAUCUGUAGCUGGUCUGAGAGGACGAUCAGCCACACUGGGACUGGGAAACGGCCCAGACUCCUACGGGAGGCAGCAGUGGGGAAUUUUGGACAAUGGGCGAAAGCCUGAUCCAGCAAUGCCGCGUGCAGGAUGAAGGCCUUCGGGUUGUAAACUGCUUUUGUACGGAACGGAAAGCCCCGGGUUAAUACCCUGGGGUCAUGACGGUACCGUAAGAAUAAGCACCGGCUAACUACGUGCCAGCCGCCGCCGUAA